CAAGAAGUAGCUUACACCCCAAAGCACCCAACUUACAAUUGAGAGACGUCCCCUAAGACCUUCUUGC
rnacentral:tRNA from 1 species